GAAAUGCGAUAAGUAAUGUGAAUUGCAGAAUACUGUGAGUCAUCAAAUGCUUGAACGCAAAUGGCGCCUGUCGAUAAAAAGAAAGGCACACCUGUUUGAGUGUCGUUUUUUUCUAAAAUCAAAAAGAGCUGUAAGUCUUUUUUUGGAGAAUGAGUGUUCCAGUGAAUGGAUCACGUGAAAUGAAAGGGUGACUGUUCGGGGGAGACCCAAAAAACAACAUUGGUAUAGGGUGUUUUCUAAGGCACACUAAAAAGCCAAUCUUUGUGAUUUUUGACUCCCCCAUUUCUCCAGCAAUAUACUAUCCAAAAUCGACCUCAAAUCAGGUGAGAUUACCCGCUGAACUUAA
rnacentral:misc_RNA from 1 species